rnacentral:rRNA from 1 species
UACGUAGGGCGCAAGCGUUGUCCGGAAUUAUUGGGCGUAAAGAGCUCGUAGGCGGCUUGUUGCGUCGACCGUGAAAACCCGGGGCUCAACUUCGGGCUUGCGGUCGAUACGGGCGGGCUAGAGUUCGGUAGGGGAGACUGGAAUUCCUGGUGUAGCGGUGAAAUGCGCAGAUAUCAGGAGGAACACCGGUGGCGAAGGCGGGUCUCUGGGCCGAUACUGACGCUGAGGUGCGAAAGCGUGGGGAGCAAACAGG